CAGACGCAUGACUACACGCGCUGGACAACAGCGGCCACAACAACACAUACAAAUACAGCUCCUGCUGAUGACGGCUCAGUUACAGACUCUCAGCAGCACAUAUUACAGCUUGUUAGCAAACAACCUGCGAUAAAGUACGAGAAGCAAGUGAAACGCGACACAUUGAUUAAAGAAUGUCUUUGGAGUACACAUCUACCCAACAGAAGCAGAGUUCAAGGUAUCUCUCGGUCUGGCCUGCUCCGCCUCCAUCUUGGUCAUUCCAUUCCAGGUGUGUCUUUCACUCAUGGCCAGGUUUACCACCCCAGUUUUGUGGCAGCUGAUUCUCUUUGGUUUUGUGCCAGCCUCCUAACCACUGUCAGUACUGCCAACUUGUUUCGUUCUCUUGUCAUCUCAGCCAUCAUUGGUUGCCAGCCGACUUUCUUUGGUUUCUCCCCAGGUAUUGUGCCAUCCAGGCCUCUGUCGGUUGCCAGCCAACUUCCUUUGGUUUCGCCCCAGAUUUUGUGCCAUCCAGGCCACUGUUGGGUCAUCCCAACUUGCUGAGGUGGGGUUUGAACCCUUGCCUCUACUGUAAUCUUAUCCGCAACCACCGUGUGUUUAGCCACUAGUGCCAUCGGGGCUUUCACACUGACAGGUGACAUUUGGGGCACUUUGUUCAUAAUAUUUUAGGUUACAGCAAUUUAAUGUCAGCAAUAGAUGGAGUCGAACCGGGGUUUCCAAGUUUAAAACACAACACCUUAUGACUUGAGCCACAAAGUCUGGCAAGUUGAGCGAUGUUUUCGGAGGAAUUUUAUUGAGAGCUUUUUUUUUUUGUAAGAUUUAAUAAACAAGCAUUUUUGGGAUUUGAAUUUAUGUCUCUGUUGCAC
ensembl:lncRNA